rnacentral:lncRNA from 1 species
UAGUCUUUAGUUUUUCUGAUCUACAUAUAAUAUUGAUUACUCUUUAUUACCCUUCUUUUGAAAUCCUCUCUUGAGUUCUGGAAAUUCAAAGUUUCUGGUAGUCCUACCUCUCUUAAAGCCUAUUGUGUGUGUCUUUCCUACUUCCAUCUACUAGGUUGGCAUUUCUCAAGGUCCUGUUUUUGGUCCUUUUGCUUGCCUUCUCUAAACUUUCUAGACAUUGCAGUAUCUGAAUUGCUCUCCAUUCUGCUGAAUCUAUUUUCAACAUGUCUUUGUCCAUCUGAGCCACCAGCAUCUCCCACUUUGUACAACUAAAAAUGAAGCCAUUGUCAUUUUCAUCUUUCUAGCACACGGACCAAGGAAAAGCUUUGUUCCUACCCCAUCUUUCAUGUACCCACUUCUUACCCUCCACUCCCCAUAGGUAACUACCUCUUUCAUUUAUUUUUUUGAAUAUCUUUUCAGAGUUUCUUUAAAUAAUAUAAGCAACUUUAAGUAUAUACUCUUAUUCCCCCACAACUUUUAUAACACAAGGUAACACUCUAUACAUACUUUUAUGUCUUGAGUUUCUCACUAAAAAUAUCUUUUCUGUGGUGUCCAAACUUGCUGCUCACCUGU